rnacentral:lncRNA from 1 species
UUGCUACUUUAAUACCAUGACACUUAAAAAUAAAUUAAAGGCAGGCGGUAAUUGUUUGCAACAGGUAUGUUUUGCAUGUGACUACUAACAAGUUUUUCUAUGUUUUGCAUACUAACAAGUUUUUCUCAAUAUGUAAAGUAACAACAUACAAAGUAACCUACAUAGUAUAUAUAUAGUACCACGAUGAUGGUCAAAUGCCGCAAUGUAUUGGUCCAAUCGAUAAAACAAAGAAACGAGACUGAUUUACUUCGUUGGACUAGUCAUCAAUAAUAAGACGAUAUUGUUUUGUUCAGAUCGUCCCAAAAUCUUUUAGAUGAUAAUCAAAAUUGGAUUUGAUUAAUAAAAAGAUGUACAUCGAUAUAGAUAACCUAAAAACUACUAAUCAAUUAAUUGGGACCCCAACAACUCAAGUACAUGACUUUUCUCAACGACUCUUCUGAUUGGUCAAUGGCUUUGCUUGAAGCCAUGGGAGCCGGCGAGCACAACUUCUUUGUUUGGGUGACCGACCGGAGAUUAGACUUGGCGUGAUGGUGGAUGGCUCUGAUGGUUUCCAUCGUGCAAACCCUUGAUCUUUUAGUGCCUCCACCAAUCCAACGGUACCGGCCACUAACCAUGCUCUCGAUGUUGAACUCAUGAUAAGAUAUCCUUAAAAUAAAGUGGGUUGUGUUUUUAGUUGA